rnacentral:lncRNA from 1 species
GACACAAGACUUUGAAAAUAAGUUUGAGUCACAAGACACAGUGCUGGGGACUGAAUCUGGGUUAGGUGGGUCAGAAGAGGUGUUCAAAGGUUGUCCCACCCCAAUAGAAAAGGGAAGCCUCAGGAACCACAGUCCAUCCCUCCCUCCCACCCCCUAUUCUCUUCAUCGAGAAAACCAUUCUUGAACUUGUCCAGGAACAUACGGAGCAUGGCACCUGUAGCAAGCAGUUACCUGAUCUGAGAAAAGCAAGAAUGAAGUCAGAGUCUUCCUCCUCACCUGCUGCCCCUAAACUUCCCAGAUCCUUCGGGAAUCCCACCAACCGACCCCACCCUCCACCCACACACUCACCAGGGGGCUAAGGCCUGCCCCUGUGCUUCUUGGCAGGAAGGAUGCCACACAGCUUAAUUUCAUCUUCUUCGCUCUCAUCAUCACUUUCUUCUUCAGAAAGGUCGUUGUUUAUACAAACUGGUGGAUACACAAGGAUAGAGCCACUCAUUCAGCUGCUAGGCUGACAGGGAACCUCAUCUCCCAGAGUCCCCAAGUCUAGAUGGAAAAGAGCCCACCCACCUCGCUGGAGUUGGACCCCUGGGGCAGGCAGGGUACAGCAAGUUCCCAGGCCUGAAGGAGGCAGUGGGAGGCACAGAAUACUGGAACCAUAGCCUGAGAUGCAGGACACACUAGGAGAUGAGACUGGGGUAAGUCGGGAGUGGAGAGGGCCCACUCUUCUCACCGAUCUGAUGCCGGCCAGUGAUCCGAACUGGGCCAGAACCGGACUUCAGGCGGAAGGUGACAGGUGGUUGGAGUUGGAAAUCAUCCACACUGAGCUGGAAGACAAGAAUGACGGGCUGAGCCGUGCUGGCCCACCCACUUGGAGAUCAAUACCGAAGUUCUCAGUCCCACCAGACUCCGAGAGGAAUGAACGGCUCCAACUCACCAUGGGCUGGCAAGACAACCUGAGGUUGGCCACAGGAACUGCAAUCUCCUGAUUGUCGUGAUCCCGGGCCACAACUUCCACCACAUUACACUCGUCCGUGGCCCCCUCGGUAAGGCACAGCUGAAAGGCAGGCAGAACCUCAGCGUCUCAAGUGAGGGAGGGCUGACACCAAAGCCAAGGCGUCUUACCCCAAAAUCGGCCUAGUCCCAGUGGCACCGGAUGCGGGGACCAGAGGGUGGAGGAGAGGGGCGACAGGCGGAGUGUCGGCUAGCCCCCCGCAUCUCCAACUCCCUCUGCGGCCCCUUACCAUGUUCAACGCCAGCACGUGCUCCGUGUCAUCCUCCUCCUCAACCUUGAAAGUGAAGGAGCGGGUGUGGCCGGAGAGCUCACAACCUGCAAGAGCCAGCGAGUGUCGCCUGGGUACACGCGUGGAGGGGACAGCGCGCGAGGACGCUCCACAAACUCCGCUGUCCCCUCCACCCGGCCAUGUGCCGCGGCGGCGGGGGGGGAACCGGCCGCUUGCUCGCCCAGAACACGUGGACGGGCAUCCCACUCGGGAAGAACCGGUUAGGGCGAGCGAGCGAGGAGCCCUCGGCCCACAGCUGCGCCCGGCCACAGCGGCGCCCGGCCGCCUUCCUCGGCCACGCCUCACCCGCCCCGUACCACUCUGCCACUCCCGCGUUCAAUACCGAAGAAGAAACUGUCCAUUGUGACCGGGGCCGGGACCCUCAGGCCCCCGACGCCCCCAGCUCGGGCUCGGCUCUCUUGGUUCAAGAACGCUAAAGCAGCCGCCGCGCCGGCCGCCAUGCUGAAACGGCCGUGAGCGCCCCGCCCCCCGCCUCAGCCAGUUCCGGUCCCGCCCAUUAAAGGAGCCGCGCUCGCCACACGAAGCAGGGAGGAGCAGUCGUCGCCUCUUCCACGAGGACAGCCAUGUCUCCAAAGAACAGAGACAUUUCAUCCAGCACACCAAGGAGAGUAAAGAGAGUGAACUUCGUUGCUCUUAGGUGAGAAAUGCAACCACACUGGAUGCAGAAAAUAGUGCUGACUCCAUUUAUUUAAGAAUCUCUCCCUAGAGAGCCCCACGUAAGAGGCCCUGACCCUAACACAAGACCCAAAGAGGAGCACACCACAAGCUGCACGGGGUAUGCAGCAAUACUAUCUUCUCCCAACCAGUGAGCAUCUGAGAAGGUGAUGGGUGCGCUUUACAGUCAUCUUUGUUUCCAAGUCAACUGGCUGAUCUGCUGCCGCUCCAGCUCCAGACACUGAACUGUGUGAAGACCUCAACCACCAACCACAAGGCGGAGUUAAGGGACUUUUGGACAGUUCACAGUACCAACAAGUGUCACAGGCUUCGACCAAGUAUAACCACAUCCUUUGGAAAUCCUUCCAUUUUUGCAAUUUCAAAACAGCCUAACUUGCUGUAAAAUUCCAGAAUCCUUUUAUCAUCUGGUCUUACUUCACAGAAAGCCCCCCGGGAGCCUAG